UAUACCGGAAGGUGUGCUUGGAAACGUAAUGUAGCUUAAUUAAAGCAUCUCGCUUACACCGAGAAAAUGUCUGUGAAAAUCGAACCUUUAUGAGCCCAAAACCUAACUCAACUUUUCAUGAAUUUUACCUUAAUAACUUUACCCCAUUAAUAAACCAUUUUCAUAGUUUAGUAAAGGAGAUUGAAAAACCUCUAUUGAAGUUAUAAUUAUAGUACCGCAAGGGAAAAGUGAAAUAUUUAAUGAAAAAUAUUAAGCAAAAAAAAGUAAAGACCUCCCCUUGUACCUUUUGCAUCAUGGUUUAACUAGUCUAAUCAAGCAAAACGAAUUUAAGUUUGACUUCCCGAAACUAAGUGAGCUACUUCAAGGCAGCCAAAAGAGCGAACCCGUCCCUGUAGCAAAAGAGUGGGAUGACCUUCAAGUAGGGGUGAAAGACCUAACGAACUUAGUGAUAGCUGGUUACUCAAAAAACGGACCUAAGUCCCUCUUGAAGUGCUUAAUUAGUUUACCAAAACAACCAUUUAACCUUCAAUGUAAUUCAAAUAAGGUACAGCCUAUUUGAAACAGGAAACAACCUAAACUAAUGGAUAAGACAGCUUUAUUAACAACUUAGUAGGCCUAAAAGCAGCCAUCUAUUAAAUAGCGUCAAAGCUUAAUUGUUUUAAUGCUCAAUUUCAAAAACAUUAUCUUAAUCCUCCAUCUCUAUUGAGUAAUUCUAUAAUUUUAUAGAAAAUUUUAUGUUAAAACUAGUAACAAGAAGAAGACCUUCUCUCUAAUGUAAGUGUCGAUCAGAAAGGACAAACCACUGAUAUUUAACAUCACUGAACCAAAAACAGUAACUCAUCGAGAAAAUCCUGUUUCUAUUUAUGUUAACCUAACACAAGAGCAUUAUAAGAAAGAUUAAAAGAAAAAGAAGGAACUCGGCAAAUAUUAACCUCGCCUGUUUACCAAAAACAUCGCCUCUUGAACUUUAUAAGAGGUCCAGCCUGCCCAGUGACUCUGUUCAACGGCCGCGGUAUCCUAACCGUGCGAAGGUAGCGUAAUCACUUGUUCUUUAAAUGUGGACUAGUAUGAAUGGCACCACGAGGGUUAUACUGUCUCCUUUUUCUAAUCAGUGAAACUAAUUUUCCCGUGAAGAAGCGGGAAUAAAAAUAUAAGACGAGAAGACCCUAUGGAGCUUUAAACAACCCAGCAAUUACUUCUAAAAUUUUAAAUUUCAGAAUAUUCAUUUUAUAAGUAAUAUGUCUGCAAGUUUUUGGUUGGGGUGACCAUGGAGAAUAACACAACCUCCAUAUUGAAUGAAUUCCCUUCUAAGCUGAAAAUUACUUAUUGAAGCAUCAACACACUGACAUCUAUUGACCCAAUAUAUUUGAUCAACGAACCAAGUUACCCUAGGGAUAACAGCGCAAUCCACUUCAAGAGCCCCUAUCGACAAGUGGGUUUACGACCUCGAUGUUGGAUCAGGGUAUCCCAGUGGCGCAGCCGCUACUAAAGGUUCGUUUGUUCAACGAUUAAAACCCUACGUGAUCUGAGU
rnacentral:rRNA from 1 species